AUUGAACGCUGGCGGCAGGCCUAACACAUGCAAGUCGAGCGGAGCGGCGGACGGGUGAGUAAUGCCUAGGAAUCUGCCUGGUAGUGGGGGAUAACGUCCGGAAACGGGCGCUAAUACCGCAUACUAUCAGAUGAGCCUAGGUCGGAUUAGCUAGUUGGUGGGUUAAAGGCCUCCCAAGGCGACGAUCCGGAACAGGUCUGAGAGGAGGAUCAGGCACACGGGAACUGAGACACGUUCCAGACUCCUACGGGAGGCAGCAGUGGGGAAUAUUGGACAAUGGGCGAAAGCCUGAUCCAGCCAUGCCGCGUGUGUGAAGAAGGUCUUCGGGUUGUAAAGCACUUUAAGUUGGGAGGCGUUACCAACAGAAUAAGCACCGGCUAACUUCGUGCCAGCAGCCGCGGUAAUUC
rnacentral:rRNA from 1 species